rnacentral:rRNA from 1 species
UAGCUAGUUGGUGAGGUAACGGCUUACCAAGGCGACGAUCUGUAGCGGGUCUGAGAGGAUGAUCCGCCACACUGGAACUGAGAGACGGUCCAGACUCCUACGGGAGGCAGCAGUGGGGAAUUUUGGACAAUGGGGGCAACCCUGAUCCAGCCAUGCCGCGUGAGUGAAGAAGGCCUUCGGGUUGUAAAGCUCUUUCGGCCGGGAAGAAAUCGCAUGGGCCAAUACCCUGUGUGGAUGACGGUACCGGAAUAAGAAGCACCGGCUAACUACGUGCCAGCAGCCGCGGUAAUACGUAGGGUGCGAGCGUUAAUCGGAAUUACUGGGCGUAAAGCGUGCGCAGGCGGUUUUGUAAGACAGGCGUGAAAUCCCCGGGCUCAACCUGGGAACUGCGUUUGUGACUGCAAGGCUAGAGUACGGCAGAGGGGGGUGGAAUUCCACGUGUAGCAGUGAAAUGCGUAGAGAUGUGGAGGAACACCAAUGGCGAAGGCAGCCCCCUGGGUCGAUACUGACGCUCAUGCACGAAAGCGUGGGUAGCAAACAGGAUUAGAUACCCUGGUAGUCCACGCCCUAAACUAUGUCAACUAGGUGUUGGGUGGGUAAAACCAUUUAGUACCGUAGCUAACGCGUGAAGUUGACCGCCUGGGGAGUACGGCCGCAAGGUUAAAACUCAAAGGAAUUGACGGGGACCCGCACAAGCGGUGGAUGAUGUGGAUUAAUUCGAUGCAACGCGAAAAACCUUACCUACCCUUGACAUGCCAGGAACUUGCCAGAGAUGGCUUGGUGCCCGAAAGGGAGCCUGGACACAGGUGCUGCAUGGCUGUCGUCAGCUCGUGUCGUGAGAUGUUGGGUUAAGUCCCGCAACGAGCGCAACCCUUGUCGUUAAUUGCCAUCAUUUAGUUGGGCACUUUAGCGAGACUGCCGGUGACAAACCGGAGGAAGGUGGGGAUGACGUCAAGUCCUCAUGGCCCUUAUGGGUAGGGCUUCACACGUCAUACAAUGGUCGGUACAAAGGGUCGCCAAGCCGCGAGGUGGAGCCAAUCCCAGAAAGCCGAUCGUAGUCCGGAUUGCAGGCUGCAACUCGCCUGCAUGAAGUCGGAAUCGCUAGUAAUCGUGGAUCAGCAUGUCACGGUGAAUACGUUCCCGGGUCUUGUACACACCGCCCGUCACACCAUGGGAGCGGGUUCCGCCAGAAGUAGGUAGCCUAACCGCAAGGAGGGCACUUACCACGGCGGGGUUCGUGACUGGGGUGAAGUCGUAACAAGGUAGCCGUAGGGGAACCUGCGGCUG